UACAUACAACAGUGAGGAUUCGCUGGUGGUCACCCACCCAACUACUAACUCACCGGCGUGUGGCUUAAGUACGGCUGAGCGGACGGGAAGCCCUGUUUUCCACACCCUAUGGUCGUAUGUAUU
rnacentral:rRNA from 1 species